GAUGUCACAAAGUCCCCACCAUGCCUUUGGCCUUGACCCUGGUGCUUUUGUGCAGCCUGGGCAGCCCCCGGGGAUGGGGCUGCCUGCAGUGCGACCAGUCAGUGGUACACGAGCUCUGGCAGCUGCGUGAGGCCAUCAUCUCCAAGCGCUUCCAUCUGGAAGGGCUGCAGGCGCGCGCGCAGACCCUGCUGUUGAGCAUGGAGGGGCCUUUCUUCAGGGACUAUGCAGUGAACGCGUUCGUGGGGAAAGUGGUCCUGAAUCAACUGGAAAAAGUGGUGACAUCCUUCAAGAACCAAACCCAGUAUAUAAAGGCUAACUCUAAGACAGAUGCUCCUCUGCUGGAAGAGCUGGUGAGCUUCAGGGAGCAAGCCAUCAAGGAACUAAAGAGAGCAUUAAGAGACUAUGAGAUGAAAGCCUGUGACCACAAAACCUGUCACUCGUUCAAAGAGGAGGUCCUGGACUGUUUAUAUUGCAAGAAAACCACUCCCACAUGCAUCAAGGAAAAGCACUGCUUUGCCAGCAAGAAGGGUCACUCAGCCCUUGGUUUGGGCUGUCGCUGGGACAGGCUGGGCUGCAAUGUUUGCCCUAGAGGAUGGACAGUACCGAAUGACUCUGAAGUUCCAGGCUGACAGCAAACUGAGGAACAUGGUGUUGGUGGGAGACUUGGUGACUGUGGGGUUGGCCAUCCUAACCUUCUUGGUCAUCCUGAUCGCGGCUUGUACCUACAGGCACAACCGGAAACUCCUGCUGAAGUAGGCCAGCGACUUUGGUGUUUUUUAAAGGAAAAUAAAUUUAAUCAGAUCUG